rnacentral:tRNA from 1 species
UCCCUGAUGGCUCAGUGGUAAAGAAUCUGCCUGCAAUGCAGGAGACCCAGGUUCGACCCCUGGGUCGGGAA